ensembl:lncRNA
AAACAAAAACACAACAACAACUUCCUAAACAAAACAACAAAAAUUCACUGUGCUGUUUUUAGUGUUGUUGCUGUAGUUUUAGUGUUGUUGCAGUAGUUUUAGUGUUGUUGCAGUAGUUUUAGUGUUGUUGCAGUAGUUUUAGUGUUGUUGCUGUAGUUUUAGUGUUGUUGCAGUAGUUUUAGUGUUGUUGCUGUAGUUUUAGUGUUGUUGCAGUAGUUUUAGUGUUGUUGCAGUAGUUUUAGUGUUGUUGCUGUAGUUUUAGUGUUGUUGCAGUAGUUUUAGUGUUGUUGCUGUAGUUUUAGUUUUGUUGCUGUAGUUUUAGUGUUGUUGCAGUAGUUUUAGUGUUGUUGUGGUGUUUUUAGUGUUGUUGCUGUAGUUUUAGUGUUGUUGCAGUAGUUUUAGUGUUGUUGCAUUUUAGUGUUGUUGCUGUAUUUGUUUUGUUGCAGUAGUUUUAGUUUUGUUGUAGUUUUAGUUUGUUUUGUUGCAGUAGUUUUAGUUUGUUUUGUUGCAGUAGUUUUAGUUUGUUUUGUUGCAGUAGUUUUAGUUUGUUUUGUUGCAUUUUAGUUUGUUUUGUUGCAGUAGUUUUAGUUUGUUUUGUUGCAGUAGUUUUAGUUUGUUUUGUUGCAGUAGUUUUAGUUUGUUUUGUUGCAGUAGUUUUAGUGUUUUUUGUUGCUGUAGUUUUAGUGUUGUUGCUGUAGUUUUAGUGUUGUUGCUGUAGUUUUAGUGUUGUUGCUGUAGUUUUAGUGUUGUUGCAGUAGUUUUAGUUUUGUUGCAGUAGUUUUAGUUCUGUUGCAGUAGUUUUAGUUUUGUUGUAGUUUUAGUUUGUUUUGUUGCAGUAGUUUUAGUUUUGUUGCAGUA